AAAAAACAGCUGUGAAGAACAUUAUCCCAGCUCUGGGCCACGGAGAGGUAUGGUCUCCUCUGAUUGGCUGACCGGACAGUCAAUAAUGAGAUCCUGCGUUCUGAUUGGUGCAGAGAUUGUAGUCAGACAACUCUGGACUCAGCCAUCAAUCUGUCCAUCCAUCCAACCAAUGAUCGAUCCAGCCAUCCAUCCAUCCAUCGACCAACCUCCAGACGACCUGCUGCUCUACUCUUGGCUCCCCCAGGUUGGUGGAGCUUUUCAGGAGGACUGAAGCUGAGACUCCCAGACAGAACAACCUGAUUCUGGUCGAAGGCCUCCGGGAUCCCGCAUUUCUCUGGCAGAACUAUAACUAAAGGUUUUACUAUCUGAUUCGGCUUUUUUCUUCACCAAAACUUAAUGGAAUAACAUCCAAACUGCAGCAGACAAAGUCUCACUCUGUCUACCUCCAGCUCCAUCCUUGAGCUCCUUCAGACCUCUAAACUGGAGAGAAACUUUUAAUAUUUUUAGCUUUACCUAUAACGGAAUAUUAGUCAGUUCAUUAACAAUAAUAAAUGCAUUGUUCAUUUAAAAUGUUGUGGUUCAUAUCUAUGUCCAGAAGAUGGCGCCAGAUGUCUACAAUGAAAUCAAAUCAAAGCACACCUGCUGCUAAAAGAUGAUUUACAUUCUCAGAAAAAUAAACAUAAGACUACAAAAUAAUACAAUAUUUAAAAUAUAACGUUGUUGAUCAGAUCUACGACAUAGAUUUAUACUUUUUCCCUCACAUUUACCUUUUUUUAAAAGGAAAAAAAAAUCUUCAUAAGAUCACCUUUGGUCUCCAAUCGUCAUUGAACACAAAACAAGCCACGCCCACAGCCAGCUAACUCCGCCCCCUUGUCUUGACGAGCGAAACUCAGUUACGGUUGCCAUAGUAACCCCACUCUCCCUUCCCAACCGGGCCCACUCCUUCAUUGCAUCAGGGAUGCCGCAAAACUGCACAAAUACACACACAGCAGUACCAAAUCAUACGCACAUAUGUACAUAUAAAAAUACACGGGAGGCAAAAUGUUUUCUUUGAAACACUUUCAUUAUUUUCUCCACACAACUGAAAAACAAAAACAGAGUAUUUCCCAGAAAGAAAGAAAGAAGAAAGGAAAGAAAGAAAGAGGAGAUUCAAACCUAUAUAGAAAGAGCUUGGCAUGCUGUGGCAUGCUGCAGACUAAAACGGUGGCGCAGGGCAUCGUCACCAGGCUGACGGCAUACAGCAGAGCCUCUGAAAUUCUUCCUGGGACCCAUAAUAAAAUAAAAAUCUAUUGUUCUGCCUCUCAGGCUGCAGGCACAUCCGACUCAGCUGUAGUUGGAAUAAGUUGGAGAAACACCAGAAGUGAACCCACAGCCUUUAGUUUCUGCUCCAAUCCCAAGUUUAAGAAAUGCUGUCGGACUAUUAAAAACAAUUUAAAAAAGAAGAGAAAAGAAACCCUCAAAGUCCUCUCGGCCCCCCUGGACGCCAUUACUGAUGGUAUCAAACACGGUGUGCAAGGAGAAUGGAAACGUAUGCAGGUAAAUAAAAACAGAUGCUGUCAAUAUUGUUGCAGUGAGGAACAGAAAUGUUGCAUUGGAUGCACUUAAAGAUUUUACAAGCAGUGAAAACAAGUAAUUUGGUGCAGAUGGAGAUCUCUGAUGGGUAAAAUGUCAGACAGCUGCAGGAGAAUCCAACAGUACUUCAUUACACCAUGGGUGUCCCAGUCCAAACAAAUCAAAUAGUCAUACUAUCACUAACCUAACCUACUAUCACUAACCUGGGACUCAACUUUGUUUGUUGUUACUAAGUACUUUUUUUAACACUUAACUUUUUGAAAACAUAGAUUUUUUUCACCACUCUUUGUGUUUACAUAGUUGAGGGUGGUGCCAGGGCGGCCAUCUUGUUUGAAAAGCAUGUUUUAUGGUUUACUUAUUUACACUUUGAAUUCAGGUCAAAUGAUUGAAUAUUAGUGUCAUAGGAAUUGGCACUACAAGAAUAAAGUCAUAAUAUUAACAGAAUAAAGUUUUAGCAACACAAAAAUAAAGUUGAAAGAAAUUAAGUUAACAUAAUACCAGGAUAAUGUUGGAAUUUUAUGUUGACUCCCACACGAAAACUAACCAAAACGUAAAAUAAGGGAUGUUGAGCAUCUUAAGUUCUACUCUGGUAUUGGUUUUAUAGAUAAGGAAAUACUUUGUCUUUUAACACUUCAUCACCAAAUUAUCAAUAGCAGUUCUUUGAAACAAUUGAGCAAACGACUGAGUCGAUUUCGAGGAAAGAAUCACAGACUUGCUGAGCUGGUCUUGUCAGGCUUUAAUAAAUAUAUCCAAGCUUUGUAAAUGACUUUCUUGUAAUUUUAGGAUGCUCUUUUGGUAAAAAAAAAAAGAAAAAGAAAAAGAAAAGAAAAAAGUUGGAAACGAUUUGUGAAUUUAGCGACAAAA